CCUACGGGACGCAGCAGUGGGGAAUAUUGCACAAUGGGGGAAACCCUGAUGCAGCGACGCCGCGUGAGUGAAGAAGUAUCUCGGUACGUAAAGCUCUAUCAGCAGGGAAGAAAAUGACGGUACCUGACUAAGAAGCCCCGGCUAACUACGUGCCAGCAGCCGCGGUAAUACGUAGGGGGCAAGCGUUAUCCGGAUUUACUGGGUGUAAAGGGAGCGUAGACGGCAUAGCAAGUCUGAUGUGAAAGAUCGGGGCUCAACCCCGGGCCUGCAUUGGAAACUGUUAAGCUGGAGUACAGGAGAGGUAA
rnacentral:rRNA from 1 species